CAGCCGCCGCGGUAAUACGGGGGGAGCUAGCGUUGUUCGGAAUUACUGGGCGUAAAGCGCGCGUAGGCGGCUUUUUAAGUCAGAGGUGAAAGCCCGGGGCUCAACCCCGGAAUUGCCUUUGAAACUGGAAAGCUAGAAUCUUGGAGAGGUCAGUGGAAUUCCGAGUGUAGAGGUGAAAUUCGUAGAUAUUCGGAAGAACACCAGUGGCGAAGGCGACUGACUGGACAAGUAUUGACGCUGAGGUGCGAAAGCGUGGGGAGCAAACAGGAUUAGAUACCCCAGUAGUCCCUGUCUCUUAUAC
rnacentral:rRNA from 1 species